rnacentral:rRNA from 1 species
UUUGUGUGUGUAGGAGAAGGAGAAAACAAUUCUAAUCGUCCCCUCGAAGGUGAUUAGUGAAGGUGAUUAGAAAGGAGACGCAAAGUGAAGUUAAAACACGGUUACCUCCGGUCUCUGCCGCCGAGUCGCGGGGACGGCACGAGGAUGCGCGGUGACGGCCUCCUACGGCUCCGGCGGUGGUGCCACCCCGCGCGCGUGGCCUGACGUCCGGGCGAGACACGGCGGGACGACGACCGCUGCCGUCAGCACGAGGAGCACCAACGGCGCGAGCGGCCGCAGUCCCAGUUGCCGGUCGACGGGCGGCCACCGUAGCAGCAGUACAGACUGGUGGUCUGUUGCCAGCUGCGCCGCGGCUACUCGUGGUCGUCGGCCCCGGGACUGAGGCCGCACAGUCUCUUCUGCAGGCCGCGGCCGCGGGUGCCGCCGUACGAACCCCGCCUGCGGCCGCCGUUGCGCAAGGGCACCUCGUUACGGUACGAGGUCACCGUCGCGUGCCCAAAAGUGAAGGUCGGGCUCUUCUUGACCUACUUGCUGGGGUUGCCAGGGCACAUGAUGUUCCCUACCAUGGUGGAGAAAAUGGUCAUGUUGGGCCUGUCACGGUAGACCCCGUUGUUCUAGCGCACCCCCGUGCGGCGGAGGGCGCUGAACCAGGCCACCGCGGUGGAGGGGCACCGUUACAGGGGACUGGUUACCAUGCUGUAGUUACCGCAGACCAGUCCGAGACGGUGGCAGGAGGGGCUGCCGGCGUAGCAGUACGAGAUGUGGCCGAGGUGGUUGCGUAGCCAGGUCCAGGUUACGAACCGAAAGGGGUGGCUGGGAAGGCUGGGAAACGAGUAGUUGACCUGGUUCAUACUCUUGUUGGGCCACUACAUGGGCGGUGGCCCGCAGCCCCUCUUCCUGAAGUCCCUGGGCUGGUGACGCACCAAACUACCAAGUCUACUGUGUACCGCCGAGCAGUAGCCGAGGUUCCUACUGGCGGUACGGCCGUACCAGUACUGGAUAUUCUGGUUACUAAAGUAGUUGAUACUCGAACAGGGGCCCAACGAAGUGGCACAAGGCCCCUGCCCAUACACCCUCACGUAACUAAACAUGGGCCAGCCACCAUUUUCCCCGUAACUGUACUGUCUCCAUCACCGUCGCCGCAGGUGGUUACCGCCACUGCUACACAACGUGCACUACUUCCUCUCGAGACUGCUACUGGCCGUGCUGAUGAUACGCAACCCCUCCAUACUGCGCCGUUUCUUGUGUACCUGCGGUAACCUGCGGCUACGGCUACAGCCGUAACCCGACUCCAUACUGACCCCUUUCAAGAUACGCAGGUUCUGCAAGAUACUAGGCCGCUUCUUCGCCGCACACGACACCCCCACCCAGCCACUCUGGCUGAGGCUCGUGCGACUACAGCGGUUCCCUACCCGGAGGGAGGUCAGCUAGGGAGCGUGCCACCACGACCUGUGGUUCUGUCCUUCGUUGGAGGAUGUCACCGGCCACGUCCUCCACCUCUGCGAGGCCUGGUUGAGGUGGCUGGAACCGGCCCAGUGGUAACUGGUGCCGAGACAGAAGGGCGAGUCGGAAGUGGCGCGUUGGGUUGAGCUGUAGCUCCGGAGUAAGGCGUAGCUGGGCGAACUGUAGCGUCGGUGGUUCCUCCGGCUGUAGCCGAUAUUGACAUCGUGGUCACCGCCCCGCCGUCCGGCCCCGCGGGAACCUGGGAAGCCGGAUGAACAGGAACGGCUGCGGUCCGUGGUGCCACCCCUGCGCCUCGCCUGGCGACAGAUAAAGAUACAACGCUCCCCGGAGCUACCGCCGAACGCGUGUGUGAAAACAGUGCUGCUCUGCGCGAGCAGAGCGCGGUUACUGUAACAAUUCUCCCAGCAGCCGUUGUGUCACGGACACGAGUUGCCGCUCCUGGACAGUCACUCCCACGACCACCUGGUAAGGUAGCACCUCUCGAAACGCUACCUCCCCUCCAGCUGCCACUGCAGCGCCCACAUGGGCUGGCUCCGUUAAAUACGUUUGCGCCCACAAAUGGAGAAGUUGUUGCGGUGGCCGCGGGUCCAGUGGCGUUGGUCGGAGCAGCAGGUGCUCUACCUGAGGAGGAUGUUGGUCCGGAUGUACCGUAGUUACAUUUUACCUUUACCUUUCAAGUAAAAAAACUAUCGUAUAUGUAACAUUAAAGAAAAGACUAAAAGAGGAGUGAGGGGAGAUAGAAGACAAAAGGAAAAGUAAAAAUGAUACAGGUAAGUAACAGAUCCGGAAGGUCAUUCAACAUCAACUCGCUCACCUUCUACGGUACUAUACGUUUAGAUCUCGACAUGUACAUGGUGUAGUCAGUUUAAUUAAAGG